GGGCCCGCACAAGUAGUGGAGCAUGUGGUUUAAUUCGAAGAUACGCGCAGAACCUUACCAACACUUGACAUGUUCGUCGCGACUCUAAGAGAUUAAAGUUUUCGGUUCGGCCGGACGAAACACAGGUGCUGCAUGGCUGUCGUCAGCUCGUGUCGUGAGAUGUUGGGUUAAGUCCCGCAACGAGCGCAACCCUCACUUUUAGUUGCCAUCAUUAAGUUGGGCACUCUGAAAGAACUGCCAGUGAUAAGCUGGAGGAAGGUGGGGAUGACGUCAAGUCCUCAUGGCCCUUACGUGUUGGGCUACACACGUGCUACAAUGGUAUCUACAACAGGAAGCAAGACGGCGACGUUAAGCAAAUCCUUAAAAGAUACCUCAGUUCGGAUUGCACUCUGCAACUCGAGUGCAUGAAGCUGGAAUU
rnacentral:rRNA from 1 species